GAUGAACGCUAGCGGCAGGCUUAACACAUGCAAGUCGAGGGGCAGCGGGGUGUAGCAAUACAUCGCCGGCGACCGGCGCACGGGUGCGUAACACGUAUGCGACCUUCCUCUUACUGGGGAAUAGCCCGGAGAAAUCCGGAUUAAUACCCCAUAACACCCUGAGGGGCAUCCCUUGGGUUUGAAAGUUCAGACGGUAAGAGAUGGGCAUGCGCCCGAUUAGCUAGUUGGUGAGGUAAUGGCUCACCAAGGCUACGAUCGGUAGGGGGCCUGAGAGGGUUAUCACCCACACUGGUACUGAGACACGGACCAGACUCCUACGGGAGGCAGCAGUGAGGAAUAUUGCGCAAUGGAGGCAACUCUGACGCAGCCAUGCCGCGUGCAGGGAGAAGGCGCUACGCGUUGUAAACUGCUUUUAACCGGGAAGAAACCCCUCGACGUGUCGAGGGUUGACGGUACCGGAGGAAUAAGCACCGGCUAACUUCGUGCCAGCCGCCGCGGUAACAC
rnacentral:rRNA from 1 species